rnacentral:rRNA from 1 species
CCAGACUCCUACGGGAGGCAGCAGUGGGGAAUAUUGGGCAAUGGGCGCAAGCCUGACCCAGCAACGCCGCGUGAAGGAAGAAGGCUUUCGGGUUGUAAACUUCUUUUCUCAGGGACGAAGCAAGUGACGGUACCUGAGGAAUAAGCCACGGCUAACUACGUGCCAGCAGCCGCGGUAAUACGUAGGUGGCAAGCGUUAUCCGGAUUUACUGGGUGUAAAGGGCGUGUAGGCGGGAAAGCAAGUCAGAUGUGAAAACCAUGGGCUCAACCUGUGGCCUGCAUUUGAAACUGUUUUUCUUGAGUACUGGAGAGGCAGACGGAAUUCCGUGUGUAGCGGUGAAAUGCGUAGAUAUACGGAGGAACACCAGUGGCGAAGGCGGAUUGCUGGACGGAUACUGACGCUGAGGCCCGAAAGCGUGGGGAGCGAACAGGAUUAGAUACCCCGGUAUA